rnacentral:rRNA from 1 species
UACGCAGGGUCCAAGCGUUGUCCGGAUUUAUUGGGCGUAAAGAGCUCGUAGGCGGCUCAGUAAGUCGGAUGUGAAAACUCGGGGCUCAACCCCGAGACGCCAUCCGAUACUGCUGUGGCUUGAGUCUGGUAGGGGAACACGGAAUUCCUGGUGUAGCGGUGAAAUGCGCAGAUAUCAGGAGGAACACCGAUGGCGAAGGCAGUGUUCUGGGCCAGUACUGACGCUGAGGAGCGAAAGCGUGGGUAGCAAACAGG